AUUGAACGCUGGCGGCAGGCCUAACACAUGCAAGUCGAACGAGUGGCGGACGUGUGAGUAAUGUCGGGGAAACUGCCUGAUGGAGGGGGAUAACUACUGGAAACGGUAGCUACUACCGCAUACCAUCGGAUUUGCCCAGAUGGGAUUAGCUAGUAGGUGGGGUAACGGCUCACCUAGGCGACGAUCCCUAGCUGGUCUGAGAGGAUGACCAGCCACACUGGAAAUGAGACACGGUCCAGACUCCUACGGUAGGCAGCAGUGGGGAAUAUUGCACAAUGGGCGCAAGCCGGAUGCAGCCAUGCCGCGUGUAUGAAGAAGGCCUUCGGGUUGUAAAGUACUUUCAGCGGGGAGGCGUUACCCGCAGAAGAAGCACCGGCUAACUCCGUGCCAGCAGCCGCGGUAAUUC
rnacentral:rRNA from 1 species